rnacentral:misc_RNA from 1 species
UGCACACCGUUCACGGCUACAACCUAUACAAGCACAUAGCAAUCCCCGAUCUCUCUCUGUCUCGUUGCUGUUGGCUCUGCGUCUUCCUGAUUUCGAUUUCUUUGGUUUCGCUCAUUAUUGUGUUCGGUGGUGCGUCUGCCUGUGCGUGUACGUUCGUGGCGUCCUUCCCCCGAUCAGGGCGCUCUCUGUGUUCCCUCGCCAGCGCUGGGGUCUCUGCCGCUGCCGCUGCGCGUGCAAAACACGACACACAGACUUGAUCGCGAGCACCCACACCCACAGCCGCACGCGUGUGUGUGUGUGUGUGUGUACCUCCGCAACAGCACCAGCGGCGCCCGCAAGGAUAACGGGAAGCAAAGGCCCCACCCCCACCCCACCCCACUCCCAAAAAAAGCGAGGCGGUAGGGGGAGGAAGACGCAAAGACGCGGUGUGCAUGUCCCUUGGUGUCGCGACGGAACCCCGAAGAGAAGAGCCAAGCACAGAAAUAUAAAAAUGGACGUUAGAGCCCCCAACAUCAUCGUGAACCCGGAGAAGUUCGAGUUGGUGCUACACGCCAACGAGGACUGCACCUUCGAGCUCACAAACGUCGGGUAUGAGGCGAUCAUCUACCGCGUCCGCACCACCGCGCCGCUGCGGUACUACCUCAAGCACUCGAAGGGCGUCGUGAAGGGGAACUCGUCGGCGAAGAUCACGAUCUUUCUGAAUCAAAAGACCUUUGCGGAGGGGCUGCCGGUAGGCGUGCGCUACACCAAGGACACCUUCCGUGUGGAAUGUGCCGUGCUGGGGGAGCAGGACGUCAUUGAGGCGCACGGAGCCAACUUGGCGAACUUGAUUCAGAAGAAGAAGGACGCUAAUGCCUCGUCGGUGGUCCAGAAGUACAUCUCGUGCCGCGUGCUCCUCGACGCCGGUGAUAGCAAGGACGGAGCCGCCGGCGCGGCGGCUGGCAAGGCUGGGGCGGCCGGAAGCGGUGGCGUUGCUGCAGGCGGCGAUGCGGCUGGUCGUGGCAGUGGCUCCGCUGGCGAGAAGAGCUCGUCUGGCCGAAAGAGCAUGACGGCAGAGCAGAUGGAGCAGAACACGCUCAACGAGAAGCGCCGCCGGAACGUUAGCGGCGGUCAGCUGGCCGUGCGCGGAAAUCAUAUGCGGCUUCUUCGCAUAGCGAUCGCCGCAGUCGUCGUCGUCGUCUUCGCAAUGUGGGUGAUGCGUGGUGGCGACGGCGAUGUUGAUGUGGAGGAGAUUGCGGAAUAGAUGUCGUCCGUCGGCGAUUUCGGAACGACAGCAGCUAUGGCGGCAUUGGUCGUGGAAGGAAGUGGCACGCAGGUGCAAUGAUGGUCGCUUCCCUCUGUUUCUCUGUGGUUAUUGUCUCCUCCCGUGCCGUCCGCCCCGCACCCUUCCUCUCUCCGCAUCCCCUUCCCCCCCUCCCAAUCCAACUCUGGGCGUGGAUCGAGAAGCAGCUAGCAGCGCAACUCAAAAAAUGAGCACUAGACAUCGUGCACCAGUGAUCACUGUCCUCGUCGCUGGGGCACGUCCGGCCGCUGUCAUGCCGCUGACCAUCUCUCUCGCUCGCCUUGGCAUUUUUUGGCAAAGGCACCAAAAAACGCAUACACGUGGGCGCGCGCCCCCUUCUCCCUGGUGACAGGUGCGGAAGAUGUCGGCAACGGAGUCAGAGUCACGGUACUUCUCAGCGUUUUUGUAUCUCUUCGAGGGGCACACACACACACACACCUCAGUGCGCAGCAUCCGGGAGUCCAGUGCAACCCUCCCACUCACCCCCACCGCUCCCUCGGUGGCAGGAAGCCAAGCAGCCCUUUUCUAUCCCUGCCAAUGCAGAACCCACCUCUGGCGGUGCGUCGGGACGGCCGACGACAGUGAACACGUCUGUGCCAUCCAUACGAUGGGCAGCACGUGUCAGGGUGGCUCGAGCGUAUGCCUCACACGGCCCUCACACGGCCCACUGAUGUGUGGGGAGGAGCCUGCGUGGCGACCGGCAUGAUUGGGGGGCGGCUGUGUGGGGUGGGGGAGUAGAGCUUGAGACAGAGAUGGUGUACAGGUCGCUGAGUCGGCGCAUUUGCUGUAGCACACGUGUGUGUCUGCGGUUUGCUUCGCACCACGCGGAUGGGGCCUGGUGACAGGGCCGUGGAAGGGUGGGUGGGCGAAGGGGUGUGCAGAGUGGCGUUGGACUCAUACGCGAGGGCUGAGAAAUGAAGGCAGCGGCAGACGAAGAACGUUGUUUUCGGAUUUGCGGGGCAGCGCUGUGAGUGGGAGUGUGGGUGUUUGCGUGCCUUCCUUCCCUCUUUUUGGAUGGUUUCACGUAUGCUUUUCAUUGUUCUUCCCUUGAUGGCUUUUUUUUUCUGGUUUCUCUAGAGUGUAACGCGCACCCACGCGUACGUCGCCUACUCGUUGUGGAUGCUCUUCGAGCUCGCGGGUCGUGCGAUGUGGCGUGCGGGCGUGGGGCGCAGUGAUGCAACGUUUGGCCGGGGGAACGAAACGGAAACGGGGAGCAGAGAGAAGCAGGCCUGCAGCUGUCGAUGCAUUCUUGGGGUGCUGUGCAUGUCUGCGUGCGCGUGAGGGGGAGGCGCACAUGUUAUGUUGGACAGCGACUCGUUUUCUUUCCUUCUUUGGAGGACUCCCACGUUGGGUGACUGAAGCCGAAAAAAAAAGGCAACACACAAACACGAACAGUCCACCUGGCAAAGAGGCUGCGUGAUGUAGCGCGCACACACGCAUUCACCCGUGCAUGGGCUUCCAUGUGCGUGACGGUAUGGGGGUGCCGUGGGAGAGAGAAAGGAGAGGAAGCAACGGCUGGGUGUUGCA